GGUUAAGCGACUAAGCGUACACGGUGGAUGCCUAGGCAGUCAGAGGCGAUGAAGGGCGUGCUAAUCUGCGAUAAGCGUCGGCAAGGUGAUAUGAACCGUUAUACCCGACGAUACCCGAAUGGGGAAACCCAGUGUGUUUCGACACACUAUCACACACUGAAUUCAUAGGUGUGUGAGGCGAACCGGGGGAACUGAAACAUCUCAGUACCCCGAGGAAAAGAAAUCAACCGAGAUUCCCCCAGUAGCGGCGAGCGAACGGGGAAGAGCCCAGAACCUGAAUCGGCUUGUGUGUCAGUGGAAGCGUCUGGAAAGGCGCACGAUACAGGGUGACAGUCCCGUACACGAAGAUGCACAGGUCGUGAGUUCGAUGAGUAGGGCGGGACACGUGGUAUCCUGUCUGAAUAUGGGGGGGACCAUCCUCCAAGGCUAAAUACUCCUGACUGACCGAUAGUGAACCAGUACCGUGAGGGAAAGGCGAAAAGAACCCCGGCGAGGGGAGUGAAAUAGAACCUGAAACCGUGUACGUACAAGCAGUGGGAGCCUUGAUUUAUCAGGGUGACUGCGUGCUACCUUUUGUAUAAUGGGUCAGCGACUUAUAUUCUGUAGCAAGGUUAACCGAGAGGGGAGCCGCAGGGAAACCGAGUCUUAACUGGGCGUUAAGUUGCAGGGUAUAGACCCGAAACCCGGUGAUGAUCAGCCAUGGGCAGGUUGAAGGUUGGGUAACACUAACUGGAGGACCGAACCGACUAAUGUUGAAAAAUUAGCGGAUGACUUGUGGCUGGGGGUGAAAGGCCAAUCAAACCGGGAGAUAGCUGGUUCUCCCCGAAAGCUAUUUAGGUAGCGCCUCGUGAAUUCAUCUUCGGGGGUAGAGCACUGUUUCGGCUAGGGGGCCAUCCCGGCUUACCAACCCGAUGCAAACUGCGAAUACCGAAGAAUGUUAUCACGGGAGACACACGGCGGGUGCUAACGUCCGUCGUGAAGAGGGAAACAACCCAGACCGCCAGCUAAGGUCCCAAAGUCAUGGUUAAGUGGGAAACGAUGUGGGAAGGCCCAGACAGCCAGGAUGUUGGCUUAGAAGCAGCCAUCAUUUAAAGAAAGCGUAAUAGCUCACUGGUCGAGUCGGCCUGCGCGGAAGAUGUAACGGGGCUAAAACCAUGCACCGAAGCUGCGGCAGCGACACUUAUGUGUUGUUGGGUAGGGGAGCGUUCUGUAAGCCUGUGAAGGUGGCCUGUGAGGGCUGCUGGAGGUAUCAGAAGUGCGAAUGCUGACAUAAGUAACGAUAAUGCGGGUGAAAAACCCGCACGCCGGAAGACCAAGGGUUCCUGUCCAACGUUAAUCGGGGCAGGGUGAGUCGACCCCUAAGGCGAGGCUGAAAAGCGUAGUCGAUGGGAAACAGGUUAAUAUUCCUGUACUUGGUGUUACUGCGAAGGGGGGACGGAGAAGGCUAUGUCAUCCGGGCGACGGUUGUCCCGGUUUAAGCGUGCAGGUGGGUGGACCAGGCAAAUCCGGUCUGCUGUUAACACUGAGGCGUAAUGACGAGGUACUACGGUACUGAAGUGACAGAUGCCCUGCUUCCAGGAAAAGCCUCUAAGCAUCAGGUAACAUUGAAUCGUACCCCAAACCGACACAGGUGGUCAGGUAGAGAAUACUCAGGCGCUUGAGAGAACUCGGGUGAAGGAACUAGGCAAAAUGGUGCCGUAACUUCGGGAGAAGGCACGCUCCUGUUGGUGAAGUCCCUUGCGGACGAAGCUGACGGGAGUCGCAGAUACCAGCUGGCUGCAACUGUUUAAUAAAAACACAGCACUGUGCAAACACGAAAGUGGACGUAUACGGUGUGACGCCUGCCCGGUGCCGGAAGGUUAAUUGAUGGGGUCAGCCGCAAGGCGAAGCUCUUGAUCGAAGCCCCGGUAAACGGCGGCCGUAACUAUAACGGUCCUAAGGUAGCGAAAUUCCUUGUCGGGUAAGUUCCGACCUGCACGAAUGGCGUAAUGAUGGCCAGGCUGUCUCCACCCGAGACUCAGUGAAAUUGAACUCGCUGUGAAGAUGCAGUGUACCCGCGGCAAGACGGAAAGACCCCGUGAACCUUUACUAUAGCUUGACACUGAACCUUGAGCCUUGAUGUGUAGGAUAGGUGGGAGGCUUUGAAGUGUGGACGCCAGUCUGCAUGGAGCCAACCUUGAAAUACCACCCUUUAAUGUUUGAUGUUCUAACGCGGGGCCCCUAAUCGGGGUUGCGGACAGUGUCUGGUGGGUAGUUUGACUGGGGCGGUCUCCUCCCAAAGAGUAACGGAGGAGCACGAAGGUUAGCUAAUCCUGGUCGGACAUCAGGAGGUUAGUGCAAAGGCAUAAGCUAGCUUGACUGCGAGAGUGACGGCUCGAGCAGGUGCGAAAGCAGGUCUUAGUGAUCCGGUGGUUCUGAAUGGAAGGGCCAUCGCUCAACGGAUAAAAGGUACUCCGGGGAUAACAGGCUGAUACCGCCCAAGAGUUCAUAUCGACGGCGGUGUUUGGCACCUCGAUGUCGGCUCAUCACAUCCUGGGGCUGAAGUAGGUCCCAAGGGUAUGGCUGUUCGCCAUUUAAAGUGGUACGCGAGCUGGGUUUAGAACGUCGUGAGACAGUUCGGUCCCUAUCUGCCGUGGGCGUUGGAAGAUUGAGAAGAUCUAUCCCUAGUACGAGAGGACCGGGAUGGACGAACCUCUGGUGUGUCAGUUGUUCCGCCAGGAGCACCGCUGAUUAGCUACGUUCGGAACGGAUAACCGCUGAAAGCAUCUAAGCGGGAAACUCGCCUGAGAUGAGUCUUCCCUGGGCCCUUGAGGCCCCUGAAGGGACGUUUAAGACGAAGACGUUGAUAGGCUGGGUGUGUAAGCGCAGCGAUGCGUUGAGCUAACCAGUACUAAUGACCCGAGAGGCUUAACCUU
rnacentral:rRNA from 1 species